AGCGGCGGACGGGUGAGUAACGCGUGGGCAACCUGCCUUACACAGGGGGAUAACAGUUAGAAAUGACUGCUAAUACCGCAUAAGACCGCAGUACCGCAUGGUACAGCGGUAAAAACUCCGGUGGUGUAAGAUGGGCCCGCGUCUGAUUAGGUAGUUGGCGGGGUAACGGCCCACCAAGCCGACGAUCAGUAGCCGACCUGAGAGGGUGACCGGCCACAUUGGGACUGAGACACGGCCCAG
rnacentral:rRNA from 1 species